UAUAACUCUCUAGCCAGCUGCAUUUGCAGAAUGAACCUUGCUUCAGGAUGCAGAGUUGCCACUUCCAUCCUUACCAGAGGCUUCCUUUGCUUUUUAGAAGUGAGGCCAGAAGGCUGCCUGCAUCAUUAGGAUCAACCCCAACUUUCCUCAGCUGUAACCAGGAAAUAUGCAGCUGAAGUAACAUCAGAGCUUAUCCAGUUUCACCAGCCUGAUAUUUCUUAUUGACAAAGUACAUCUUUGCAGAGCCAUCUUCAAAUAGUCUACAAAACUAUGUAGCCUUUAGAUACAUAUUUUAUCACAGAAUUUGAAAAGCCAUUACCUUCAACAAUUCUAGAAGCAGGAAGUCCAGAAAUGCAUUUUCAAAACAAGUCUCUUAUUCUGUGGUAAGCUCUGACAGCUCUCUGAAGAUGACAAAGAAUCUGAUCACCUCAAAAGUGAGAAUUUGUGAUCAACCAGAACUCCCUCAUCACUUACCAGAAGCCUGUGCAGCUGAAGGAGAGUUCAGCCCUGUAGGAGGGGAAAAAAAGGCAGUCAAAAGCUUCAAGGAAACUGAAAGAACAAGAUCAACUUGCCCUGUUAUUCUCCUUCCUAUAUCUUCAUGGCCAUUUUUCAGGAAUAUUUUCAGUUUUGUUCUGUUAGUGUUGCAUGUUGUGAGAGGAAGCAAGCAUUUGGAUCACACAUGGAAAUAGUCUGUCACAUGAAAGAGCACCCCACUUGAGACCUUGGACCCUUUCAAAAGGCCAUCUGUCCUUUAAUGUGAGAAAACUGCAAGUCUGCAGCAGGAAAAUAAAUACAUUCCCAAGAAUGAAUCAAACAAAGUGACCUAGGAAAACACAGGUUUUAAAUGGUCAGAAUGUGCCCUUGUCACUUCCCAUCUAUUUCUGCUCUUUGAGUCCUCAAAAGCCUCAUUGCCUGUCAUUCUAACCCUUCCAGCUCUGAAAAAAGAGCAGUGGCAAGAAAGACUUUGGAAUGUAACUACAGAGACAGAGGACAUCAAUUAAAUAAUUAUCUGUGAAUUAUUUUCUCAUCUGCAGCCCAAAACAAUCUGUUCCUGCUGAUAGUCCUGAUGCUAUCACAUCUGUUAAUCCAAGAAUGACUUCUUUGACAUCUAUAUAUCAGUGUCAUUUAUUAAUGAUGGAUUCUAUUAUGCUUCCCAUACAGACCCUAAUUUAUCAUUUAUCUCUGAAACCAAGGACAUAAUUAGAACAGAAGCUGAACUAAUUUGGUAGAAUACUAGGGGUUGGGCCUAUAAGCAGUGAAAAUCUUAUGGUACUGAUAAAAUGAAAUAUUGAGCAGGUAUUUCGUAGGCCUCAGUAAAGACUAGAAAAAGUAUAAUUUCUAUUCUAAGUUAGUUAUCUAAUUUUCAAUAUAAUAUUUUUUAUAUAAUUUCAUGCAUGUCAUUUGAGUAAAAAUGUAUUCAAUAAAACUAAAAUUUUUAGGAAAAGGUUGCCACAGAUUUAGUCAAAAAGAGACUUCCCAUGGAAAACAUUGUCACCAAGCUUUUGUUUAAAAUCUUCCUUCAAGAAUUCAUUUCACUAAGGGCAAAUGCUAUCAGGAUAAAAUACAUUGAUUUAUGAAAUCUUUUUGGAGUUUCAAAGGUUCCCAGGAUUCCAUAAUCUUGCAGUUUAGUUCUCUCUACUUUCAGAUUUCAGUUGAGCUGAAAAUGAUGAAUCUCAGUUCUGCAUGCAGUGAGAUUUAUUUUCUUCACAGAAAUGUUGACAGAAUUACAAGAAAAUCUUGGGGCCAAAAUUUUCCAGCUGUAUGGCAACAUUUGUGCAUAGCACAUCCAUAAUUUUGUAUUUAUUUGGGCCACAAAGUUUAAUGAACCUGUGCAGAUUUGAGAAAAUCAAACAUGGCUUCUAUUAAGUUGAAGGGUUUGCUUAAAUAUAUAAACAAAGACAUAUUCAACAUUAUAUUGCCAAUAUACAUUAUGCUAAUAAAGAAUUACAAAUUCCAUUGUGAGGAUGUGGCUUACUGAAGGAAGGUGUCAUGAAAGGAAUUUCUUUGGCCAGUCAGAAUCUUGCACUAAUGGAUUUCUCCAAUAAGGCAGCAUAACAGGAUAUAAAAGAUAAGAAACUAAUUUUUUAUGUAUUUUUCUUCAGAGUAGUGUCCGUGUUAAUUAUAUCAUCCUGCUUCUUCCAUGUGGACUUAUAAUAAAUAAUGAACAGAUCCUUGCUUCUUUAUUUUAUCAAAGUUAUUACUUUCAAGACUGACUUUUGAUUAAGACAGUCUGAAAUUCCAUAUGUUUUAUAAUGACCAGUUGAAAGGAAGAAACCCCAAAUGUCAGAAAUAUUAUUUUGAUGCUCAGUGGAGCAGGUAACUACCAUGCUGAAGAAAUUCCCAUUGACUUUGACCA